rnacentral:rRNA from 1 species
UUAUUUUUUAAUAAUUAAUUUUUAUAUAAUCUUUAUAUAAUUAAUAUUUUAGUUAUUUAUAGGAAUAAAUAUUAUAAUAUAAUAAUAUUUUAAUAAUGAUAAAAUAAGUAUUUUAUAUAUAUAAAAUAUAGUAACUCGGCAAAUAUUAUUUUCGCCUGUUUAACAAAAACAUGGUCUUUUGUUUAUAUAAAAGAUCUAACCUGCCCUAUGAUUUAUUUAAAUGGCUGCAGUAUUUUGACUGUACAAAGGUAGCAUAAUCAUUUGUCUUUUAAUUGAAGGCUUGUAUGAAUGGUUGGAUGAAAAAUAUACUUUCUUUAUUUUAUAUAAAAAAUUUAAUUUUCUAGUCAAAAAGCUAGGAUUUUUUUAUAGGACGAGAAGACCCUAUAGAACUUUAUUUUCUUUUUUUAUAAACUUUAUAGAUAAAUAUAAGUUUAUAUAUUUUUGUUAAUUUUGUUGGGGUGAUUGAAAAAAUUUUUUAACUUUUUCUAUUUUUUACAUUUAUAUAUGUUUUUUUGAUCCUUUAUUAUGGAAUAAAAGAUUAAGUUACCUUAGGGAUAACAGCGUUAUUUUUUUGGAGAGUUCUUAUCGAUAAAAAAGUUUGCGACCUCGAUGUUGG